rnacentral:rRNA from 1 species
UACAGAGGUCCCAAGCGUUGUUCGGAUUCACUGGGCGUAAAGGGUGCGUAGGCGGUCGGGUAAGUCUGAUGUGAAAUCUCACAGCUUAACUGGGGAACUGCGUGUGAGACUGGCAGGCUCGAGGGCAGGAGAGGAACGCGGAAUUCCAGGUGUAGCGGUGAAAUGCGUAGAUAUCUGGAGGAACACCGGUGGCGAAGGCGGCAUCCUGGACCGACACUGACGCUGAGGAGCGAAAGCCAGGGGAGCAAACGGG